rnacentral:snRNA from 1 species
UUACUCUGGUUUCUCUGCAUCACGCAUAAAUCUUUCGCCUUUUACUAAAGAUUUCCGUGCAGAGGAACACUCGUUGAGUUUAAACUCAAUUUUUCUCAGCCCUUGAGGAAAUCAAGGGU